CACGUAGGGGCCAAGCGUUGUCCGGAUUUAUUGGGCGUAAAGAGCUCGUAGGCGGUUCGACAAGUCGGGUGUGAAAACUCCGGCUCAACCCGGAGACGCCACCCGAUACUGUCGUGACUGGAGUCCGGUAGGGGAGUGGGGAAUUCCUGGUGUAGCGGUGAAAUGCGCAGAUAUCAGGAAGAACACCCGUGGCGAAGGCGGCUCUCUGGUACGUGACUGACGCUGAGACGCGAAAGCGUGGGGAGCAAACAGG
rnacentral:rRNA from 1 species